rnacentral:rRNA from 1 species
GUGUCAGCAGCCGCGGUAAAACCAGCACCUCAAGUGGUCAGGAUGAUUAUUGGGCCUAAAGCAUCCGUAGCCGGCUCUGUAAGUUUUCGGUUAAAUCUGUACGCUCAACGUACAGGCUGCCGGGAAUACUGCAGAACUAGGGAGUGGGAGAGGUAGACGGUACUCGGGAGGAAGUGGUAAAAUGCUUUGAUCUCUCGAUGACCACCUGUGGCGAAGGCGGUCUACCAGAACACGUCCGACGGUGAGGGAUGAAAGCUGGGGGAGCAAACCGGAUUAGAUACCCGGGUAGUCCCAGCUGUAAACUAUGCAAACUCAGUGAUGCAUUGGCUUGUGGCCAAUGCAGUGUUGCAGGGAAGCCGUUAAGUUUGCCGCCUGGGAAGUACGUACGCAAGUAUGAAACUUAAAGGAAUUGGCGGGGGAGCACCACAAGGGGUGAAGCCUGCGGUUCAAUUGGAGUCAACGCCAGAAAUCUUACCCGGAGAGACAGCAGAAUGAAGGUCAAGCUGAAGACUUUACCAGACAAGCUGAGAGGUGGUGCAUGGCCGUCGCCAGCUCGUGCCGUGAGAUGUCCUGUUAAGUCAGGUAACGAGCGAGAUCCCUGCCUCUAGUUGCCACCAUUACUCUCAGGAGUAGUGGGGCGAAUUAGCGGGACCGCCGCAGUUAAUGCGGAGGAAGGAAGGGGCCACGGCAGGUCAGUAUGCCCCGAAACUCUGGGGCCACACGCGGGCUGCAAUGGUAAUGACAAUAGGUUCCGAAUCCGAAAGGAGGAGGUAAUCCCUAAACAUUACCACAGUUAUGACUGAGGGCUGCAACUCGCCCUCACGAAUAUGGAAUCCCUAGUAACUGCGUGUCAUUAUCGCGCGGUGAAUACGUCCCUGCUCCUUGCACACACCGCCCGUC